AGUGAAAAUAGGAGUUUGAGCACUUGACUUUUAAUCAAGUUGUCCGGGGUUCGAAUCCCCGAUGUCUCACUA
rnacentral:tRNA from 1 species